rnacentral:rRNA from 1 species
UACGCAGGGUGCAAGCGUUGUCCGGAAUUAUUGGGCGUAAAGAGCUCGUAGGCGGUUUGUCGCGUCUGCUGUGAAAAUCCAGGGCUUAACCCUGGACCUGCAGUGGGUACGGGCAGACUAGAGUGCGGUAGGGGAGAUCGGAAUUCCUGGUGUAGCGGUGAAAUGCGCAGAUAUCAGGGGGAACACCAAUGGCGAAGGCAGCUCGCUGGAACGGUACUGACGCUGAGGCGCGAAAGCGUGGGGAGCGAACAGG